rnacentral:rRNA from 1 species
CCUACGGGUGGCAGCAGUGGGGAAUAUUGGACAAUGGGCGAAAGCCUGAUCCAGCCAUGCCGCGUGUGUGAAGAAGGCCUUCGGGUUGUAAAGCACUUUCAGUGGGGAAGAAAGCCUUGGGGCUAAUACCCUCGAGGAAGGACAUCACCCACAGAAGAAGCACCGGCUAACUCCGUGCCAGCAGCCGCGGUAAUACGGAGGGUGCGAGCGUUAAUCGGAAUUACUGGGCGUAAAGCGCGCGUAGGCGGUCUGAUAAGCCGGUUGUGAAAGCCCCGGGCUCAACCUGGGAACGGCAUCCGGAACUGUCAGGCUAGAGUGCAGGAGAGGAAGGUAGAAUUCCCGGUAUAGCGGUGAAAUGCGUAGAGAUCGGGAGGAAUACCAGUGGCGAAGGCGGCCUUCUGGACUGACACUGACGCUGAGGUGCGAAAGCGUGGGUAGCAAACAGGAUUAGAUACCCGAGUAGUC